rnacentral:rRNA from 1 species
AACGAACGCUGGCGGCAGGCCUAACACAUGCAAGUCGAACGCCCCGCAAGGGGAGUGGCAGACGGGUGAGUAACACGUGGGAACCUUCCCAACAGUACGGAAUAGCCCAGGGAAACUUGGAGUAAUACCGUAUAUUCCCGUGAGGGGAAAGAUUUAUCGCUGUUGGAUGGGCCCGCGUCGGAUUAGCUAGUUGGUGGGGUAAUGGCCCACCAAGGCGACGAUCCGUAGCUGGUUUGAGAGAAUGACCAGCCACACUGGGACUGAGACACGGCCCAGACUCCUACGGGAGGCAGCAGUGGGGAAUCUUGGACAAUGGGCGCAAGCCUGAUCCAGCCAUGCCGCGUGAGUGACGAAGGCCUUAGGGUUGUAAAGCUCUUUUGCCGGGGACGAUAAUGACGGUACCCGGAGAAUAAGUCCCGGCUAACUUCGUGCCAGCCGCCGCAGUAAAAC